rnacentral:sRNA from 1 species
UCUGCCUCACCCCUCGGCUCCCCCAGGAGGAUGUUCCCCAGCUAUAAGGUAAAAGUCACAGGCAUGAACCCCAAGACCAAGUACAUCCUGCUGAUUGACAUUGUCCCUGCCGAUGACCAUCGCUACAAGUUCUGUGACAACAAAUGGAUGGUGGCAGGGAAGGCUGAGCCAGCCAUGCCAGGAAGGCUGUAUGUCCACCCGGAUUCUCCUGCCACAGGAGCCCACUGGAUGCGGCAGCUGGUCUCCUUCCAGAAGCUGAAGCUGACAAACAACCACCUGGACCCCUUUGGCCAUAUCAUCCUCAACUCUAUGCACAAGUACCAGCCACGGCUCCACAUCGUUAAGGCUGAUGAGAACAAUGCUUUCGGCUCCAAAAACACUGCUUUCUGCACCCACGUGUUCCCAGAGACCUCCUUCAUCUCUGUGACCUCCUACCAGAAUCACAAGAUCACCCAGCUGAAAAUUGAGAACAACCCUUUUGCCAAGGGAUUCCGGGGCAGUGAUGACAGUGACCUGCGUGUGGCCCGACUGCAGAGCAAAGAAUACCCCGUGAUUUCCAAAAGCAUCAUGAGGCAGAGGCUCAUCUCCCCCCAGCUCUCAGCCACACCAGAUGUGGGCCCCCUGCUCGGCACCCACCAGGCACUCCAGCACUACCAGCACGAGAACGGGGCACACUCACAGCUCGCGGAGCCGCAGGACCUGCCCCUCAGCACCUUUCCCAC